rnacentral:rRNA from 1 species
GAUUAGAUACCCUGGUAGUCCACGCCGUAAACGAUGUCGACUUGGAGGUUGUUCCCUUGAGGAGUGGCUUCCGGAGCUAACGCGUUAAGUCGACCGCCUGGGGAGUACGGCCGCAAGGUUAAAACUCAAAUGAAUUGACGGGGGCCCGCGCAAGCGGUGGAGCAUGUGGUUUAAUUCGAUGCAACGCGAAGAACCUUACCUACUCUUGACAUCCACGGAAUUCGGCAGAGAUGCCUUAGUGCCUUCGGGAACCGUGAGACAGGUGCUGCAUGGCUGUCGUCAGCUCGUGUUGUGAAAUGUUGGGUUAAGUCCCGCAACGAGCGCAACCCUUAUCCUUUGUUGCCAGCGAUUCGGUCGGGAACUCAAAGGAGACUGCCGGUGAUAAACCGGAGGAAGGUGGGGAUGACGUCAAGUCAUCAUGGCCCUUACGAGUAGGGCUACACACGUGCUACAAUGGCGCAUACAAAGAGAAGCGACCUCGCGAGAGCAAGCGGACCUCAUAAAGUGCGUCGUAGUCCGGAUCGGAGUCUGCAACUCGACUCCGUGAAGUCGGAAUCGCUAGUAAUCGUGGAUCAGAAUGCCACGGUGAAUACGUUCCCGGGCCUUGUACACACCGCCCGUCACACCAUGGGAGUGGGUUGCAAAAGAAGUAGGUAGCUUAACCUUCGGGAGGGCGCUUACCACUUUGUGAUUCAUGACUGGGGUGAAGUCGUAACAAGG